GAAGACAGAGCUGGCGGAUCCUAUCCUAGGAUAAAACUAAAAAGUUUCACUAUUUCACCGCAGUUCUCGACAUUUUCCUACAAUCGUGUCAAACUAGGAAAGGAUAUCAUUACGUCAACAACUGGGAAACGUUUUUCGUAUCAAUACAGCGAAGAUUUACGAUGCCGGAAUUCUAACAAUCACUAGAAAUUGACAGUGAGAUGCUGUGCUCGACUUCAAUGAACAAAAAGUGUUCACGUCUCGUUGAGAACUAUGGUUCGCACAGCUGGUCAAUCAUCUGAUGUAAGCAUGCCUAGGUGCAACAGGUUUGUCCCAGUGCACGGCUUCUUGCUCUAGUUGCUCCGGAGCGAAAAAACACUUCUUUUUAUUCCGGUUUACUACCAGAAGAAGGAAAAAUAGAAGCAGAGGAUACAGAAACGAUUUACUCCUUGUUUGCUCCGGAGUAGUUUCUCCUGGUACUGGCACAAACCUAAUGCUUGCCAACAAUCAUGUUCACCUAUGGUCGAACCAAUGGAAACGCUGGACAAAUCGGAUAUCAUAUGGCUCAGAAUGUGUCGAUUGUAGAGGUGUGCGCCGAUGCAUUUUUAAUCAGCGGCGGCGUAAGCGACAUUUUUGGCCGGCGGCGUUGGCGGCGUCACGCCGUUGGACCCUACCGGCGGCGGCGCGCCGGCGUGUGUCGGCGUGACGAAUAUUGACGCCUAUACUUCAUACAUACAAACAAACGUUACAGCUUAAAGAAAAUCUAAAAAAAUCAUCGCCCACGAUGUACUAGCGACAUCUGUUGAACACAUUGCAUAAAAUGUAAUAGGGAUCUUUAGGGGUGUGCGGGUUAAGGCAUAUUCUGAUGCAGAUUAGUACCGUGAGUUAAUAUCUCAGGUAUUUUUAAAUUUUUUGGCCCGAAACUAUUGAAAAAAACAUUUUUUAGUUUGUUUCCUUUUAGGACAAUAACACAUCCAAACCCAUGCGACUUGCACGACUCUAUAGGUUGCCUUAUCAGAUCUACCAUAGUUUGCAGAUGAAACUUGAAUGGCAGGCUGCUAGCGGAUUGACAAAGUACCAGAUCAUGCUGUGUGGGGUUCUGUUCCGGUUAACAAUGAGGCGAACGAGAUAUUUGCAGAUACGUCAUUUAGUAGGACAACUGUCAGUUUGCUGGUUGAAUUUAAUUUGUUUUUUUUUUAAAUUUGAAAAUCAUAAAAGAAUAAUUAAGGUUUAAGAAUGAUAUAAGUGUACUCGUAAGGACACCCGCUACCAAUACAUAUGAAA